UACGUAGGGACCAAGCGUUGUCCGGAUUUAUUGGGCGUAAAGAGCUCGUAGGCGGCCCUCCACGUCGGAUGUGAAAGCUCAGGGCUCAACCCUGAGAUGCCAUUCGAUACGGGAAGGCUAGAGGUAGGUAGGGGAAAGUGGAAUUCCUGGUGUAGCGGUGAAAUGCGCAGAUAUCAGGAGGAACACCGGUGGCGAAGGCGGGUCUCUGGGCCGAUACUGACGCUGAGGAGCGAAAGCGUGGGGAGCGAACAGG
rnacentral:rRNA from 1 species